rnacentral:misc_RNA from 1 species
GAUGAAGAACGUAGCGAAAUGCGAUAAGUAAUGUGAAUUGCAGAAUUCAGUGAAUCAUCGAAUCUUUGAACGCACAUUGCGCCCGCCAGUAUUCUGGCGGGCAUGCCUGUUCGAGCGUCAUUACGCCCCUCAAGUCCCCUGUGGACUUGGUGUUGGGGAUCGGCGAGGCUGGUUUUCCAGCACAGCCGUCCCUUAAAUUAAUUGGCGGUCUCGCCGUGGCCCUCCUCUGCGCAGUAGUAAAACACUCGCAACAGGAGCCCGGCGCGGUCCACUGCCGUAAAACCCCCCAACUUUUUAUAGUUGACCUCGAAUCAGGUAGGACUACCCGCUGAACUUAAGCAUAUCAAUAAGCGGAGGA